rnacentral:rRNA from 1 species
GGAUCAAUAUGUCGGUCGUGCCUCGGUACGUACUGGCAUUAUUGGUUUCUCCCUUCUGAAGAACCUUGAUGUCAUUAAUUUGGUGUCUUGGGGAAUCAGGACUGUUACUUUGAAAAAAUUAGAGUGUUUAAAGCAGGCUCGCGCUUGAAUACAUUAGCAUGGAAUAAUGAAAUAGGACGUUUGAUUCUAUUUUGUUGGUUUCUAGGAUCGACGUA